CCCGCCCGGCCUCCAUCUGGGCCACUGCCCACCGCACGCUGUGAGGAUGCGGAGCGACAGGGACGCG
rnacentral:miRNA from 1 species